UACGUAGGGGGCAAGCGUUGUCCGGAAUCAUUGGGCGUAAAGCGUGCGCAGGCGGUUAUUUAAGUCAGGUGUGAAAGCCCUGGGCUUAACCUAGGAAUUGCGCUUGAGACUGGAUAGCUUGGAGUGCGGCAGAGGGAGGUGGAAUUCCACGUGUAGCAGUGAAAUGCGUAGAGAUGUGGAGGAACACCGAUGGCGAAGGCAGCCUCCUGGGCCAGCACUGACGCUCAUGCACGAAAGCGUGGGGAGCAAACAGG
rnacentral:rRNA from 1 species